CACGCCGUAAACGAUGAGAACUCGCUGUAGAAGGUAUCGACCCCUUCUGUGGCUAAGCUAACGCGUUAAGUUCUCCGCCUGGGUAGUACGGUCGCAAGAUUAAAACUCAAAGGAAUAGACGGGGACCCACACAAGCGGUGGAGCAUGUUGUUUAAUUCGACGGUAAGCGAGUAACCUUACCUAGGCUUGACAUCCAGAGAAUCCCGGAGAAAUUUGGGAGUGCCGCAAGGAACUCUGAGACAGGUGC
rnacentral:rRNA from 1 species